UACGUAGGGUGCAAGCGUUGUCCGGAAUUAUUGGGCGUAAAGAGCUCGUAGGCGGUCUGUCGCGUCGGAUGUGAAAAUCCAGGGCUUAACCCUGGGCCUGCAUUCGAUACGGGCAGACUAGAGUUCGGUAGGGGAGACUGGAAUUCCUGGUGUAGCGGUGAAAUGCGUAGAUAUCGGAAGGAACACCAGUGGCGAAAGCGGCUUCCUGGUCCAGCACCGACGUUCAGGCACGAAAGCGUGGGGAGCAAACAGG
rnacentral:rRNA from 1 species